AUAAAUGCUGUGAAUGGGAAGAGUAAGUGAUAAGCCAGUCAAAGAGAGCCGGGAAACAGUCAACUGUUGGUGGAAGCCCGGUAUUGGUUUUUACUGAAGGCAGCCCGGGAGCGGCUUUUUCGAAACCCACAGGAAGCGAUGGAUGUCCUUGGCCAGGUAGAAAAAGACGUAACGCCACGUUACAGGCGGGUAAUGUAAGCAUUACAAGGAAGUUGAUGCCGCAUUAUUAUUAAAGUGAAUGCAUAUUAAUGCAUUAAUUAGGGUGGUACCGCGGAAACCUUCGUCCCUGUU
rnacentral:ncRNA from 1 species